CAUGACCCGAGAAGCCCACAUGCGAACGAACUCUCACAACAGGAAGAUCUUUCUAGAAGCGGCCGAGAAUGCGUAUACAUUCAUAUAAGUACUCGCUCGAAUUUGCCACACAGAACCACACACAUUCAAACAACUUUGAAUAGUUUUCUUUUUCCCCUUGCGAAUCGGAAGAGAAUUCUAGAAAAUCCUCUCUGACGCCGCCCUGCACUCGAUCUGUUCUGAGGUACUGUUUCUUUUGAAUUUCGAUUUCUUAUUUUCUGUAUGUAGAAUUAUCAGAUCUAAUAGGAUAUCAUGGUGUUUUAGUCUACGGUUUUUUUUUUUUUUUUACUUAAAUUGUUAUUAAUUUCAAAUUAACACACACGUGCCAAUUCUAGAUAUGUGUUUUUUUACCUCUCUUUUUUAAUUUGUGGAUCCAGUAUGGUGGGUUUGGUUGUGAGGAUACAGCAGGCACAUUGCCUUCUACUAGCUUUUGUUUUUCUGUUGUCUGUUGAUUUGAUACUACUUUAGAAAUUUCUUAAUUUUAACACGUUUGGUAUUAUUGUUAGAAGAAAAUAACGAAAUAGGUGUAUAUACAAGGGAAAAAAAUUGAUUUUUGUUUAAUAUGACCUUAACUUCACUGUACUUUUCAUGUCAAUCCAUACAUGUAAUUGUAAAUGUGCGGCAGAAUAAGUUUGAGGCAGUUUCCGACUUUAACUGAGUUGUUGGUGUUUUUUAACGCCGCAAUCUUGAACCUCGCAAUGCAUGAAGUAGAUGUGGAUCAUGAUGUAUUGAGGUCCUCUUCAACUGUCUGCAUCAAAUUGGCGGUGUUUUAGUGUACCAAUUGAGUGGAUUUUAGUACAAAAUUGGUGUUUUUAUAUCAAUUUGGUGCAAGGUUGAAGAUGCCCAAAGUAGAUUGAGGUUGAAUAUGAAUAUGUGAUGGGAAGUGUAUCUAGUUAUAUUAUCUUUGCAUUCAAAGCUCUCUGAGUUGUCCUGCUUUUCCAUUAUUGUCAAGUUGUUAUCUUUAUUUGUCAUCACUGAUAUGAUGUAUGAGCACAUAUGUGAUGAUGUUGUAUAGAUAUUAGGAAAAUGUCUUGGGUUUUUUAUGGUUGCCUUCGUCCUAAAUAGAAAAGAUAACUGGAUGUGGAUGAGUUUGAUGAAUGUUAAAUGUGACUUUAUGUUCAUCAGGUCAUUUGGUUUUUUUGAAUUUGAGGCACUCGCUGCUGCAACUUUGUCCAGUCUAGUAAACAUGAGUGUGGUGGGUUUUGACUUUGGGAAUGAGAGCUGUGUGGUUGCUGUUGCAAGGCAAAGAGGUAUUGACGUCGUUCUUAAUGAUGAGUCCAAGCGUGAGACUCCUGCUGUCGUAUGCUUUGGUGACAAACAGAGAUUCCUUGGAACAGCAGGAGCUGCAUCGAGCAUGAUGAAUCCCAAAAAUACAAUAUCCCAAAUAAAGAGGUUGAUUGGACGCCAGUAUUCAGAUCCUGAGCUGCAGCAGGAUCUCAAAGCCUUACCCUUUUCUGUGACCGAAGGGCCUGAUGGAUAUCCUUUGAUUCAUGCACGUUAUUUGGGAGAAAUGAGGACUUUUACACCUACCCAGGUCUUGGGAAUGGUUCUUUCCGAUUUGAAGAGUAUUGCUGAAAAGAAUUUGAAAGCAGCGGUUGUAGAUUGCUGCAUUGGUAUACCCGUUUAUUUCACAGACCUUCAGAGGAGAGCUGUCAUAGAUGCUGCAACAAUAGCUGGAUUGCACCCUCUCAGACUUAUUCAUGAGACUACUGCUACGGCUUUAGCUUAUGGUAUUUACAAGACUGACUUACCUGAGAAUGACCCGUUACAUGUUGCUUUUGUUGAUGUUGGGCAUGGAAGUAUGCAAGUUUGUAUUGCUGCUCUAAAGAAAGGUCAGCUGAAAAUAUUGGCCCAUUCUUUUGACAGGUCCCUUGGUGGAAGGGAUUUUGAUGAAGUUCUUUUCCAACACUUUGCUGCAAAGUUCCAGGAGGAAUACAAGAUUGAUGUCUUCCAGAAUGCCAGGGCUUGCCUCAGGCUUCGUGCAGCUUGUGAGAAGUUGAAAAAGGUUCUCAGUGCAAAUCCCGAGGCACCUUUGAACAUUGAGUGCUUGAUGGAUGAGAAGGAUGUCAGAGGUCAUAUUAAGAGAGAGGAAUUUGAGCAAAUUAGUGUUCCAAUAUUGGAGCGUGUUAAGAAACCAUUGGAGAAAGCUCUUGCAGAAGCUGGACUUACUGUUGAGAAUAUUCAUACAGUUGAAGUUGUUGGUUCAGGCUCUCGAGUUCCUGCUAUUAUGAAGAUAUUGACCGAGUUUUUUGGGAAGGAGCCCAGGCGUACAAUGAAUGCCAGUGAAAGUGUUGCCAAAGGAUGUGCUUUAGAAUGUGCUAUUCUUAGUCCCACAUUUAAAGUUCGUGAGUUCCAGGUAAUGGUUCUUAUAAUUGAUAAGCUCUCUCUCUCUCUCUCACACUUAGUUACACAAACACACAAAGAAGGCACAUGGAAGCUGACGUAUGGUUAUUAAAGAAAAAAACAUAAAAGAUCAAAGGGUGAGAAUUUUCUAUGAUGGUUAACAGCUAUGGAUUUCUAUAAAUCCAUUUAAAAUGUGAAUCUGUCCAAACUGUGCUGUUUUGUGAUAGAGAUGGAGAUAGUGGUUUGGAGUAGCAGUUCUAGAAAAGUUGCCUCACUGCUGCCUCAUGUUGCACGUAUUCUUUCUAUGUUUAAUAUCUUCGAACAGGCUACCUGGGAAGAUAUCUAACAGUGUGCAUUAUAGAGAUUUAUUAGGGGACUGAUGCAUCUCUAUUACUAAUUCUUCUUGCAAGAUACUAGAUUAAAUUUAUUUUAGGACAUUUUGUGCCUAACCAUCUUUCUGUCCAAAUUUAGGGGAGAUUACUACGUGAUAUCUGGAUUAAGAUCUGGUCAACAUUUUCUUUGCAGGUCAAUGAGAGCUUUCCAUUUCCCAUUGCCUUGUCAUGGAAAGGCUCUGCUCCAGAUGCACAGAAUGGACCCAUGGAUAACCAGCAGAUCACUGUUGUGUUCCCCAAGGGCAAUCCGAUACCAAGUAUGAAGGCUCUUACAUUCUACAGAUCUGGGACUUUCACAAUCGACGUUCAAUAUGCUGAUGUUAACGAAUUGCAGGCACCGGCUAAGAUUAGCACUUACACGGUAAUUUAUAUGCGCAUGCCUGUAAGAUCCAUUCAAUUUGUUUAGGGGGUAGCCUGGACAAUUUUUUUGGUAUCUACCUGACACAGCUUCUUUUUUAUUUUUAUCUUUUUGGGCUCAAGAUUGGACCUUUCCAAUCCACGAAUGGUGAACGGUUGAAACUGAAGGUCAAAAUUCGCCUAAAUCUUCAUGGAAUUGUCGCUGUUGAGUCAGCUACUGUACGUUAUCUCUUGAAAGAUCUUUUAACUUUUUAUGAUCGUGCAAAUCCAAAUUUUGGAAUGUAACGGAAGUUUCUUGAUAUUUGUAUCAGAUUUUGGAAGAGGAAGAAGUGGAAGUUCCAGUUGUGAAAGAGUCGGCGGAGAAACCGACCAAGAUGGAAACAAACGAGGCUCCUGUUGAUUCUGUGCCACCGAGUGCUAAUGAUUCCGAUGUAAAUAUGCAAGAUGCUAAAACUGAAGCCCCUGGAGCUGAAAAUGGUGUUCCUGAGCCAGUGGAUAAGCCUGUUCAGAUGGAAACAGACACUAAGGUGAGUUAACAACGACUGUCAGAGUUGUAGUUUUGUCUGUAUUUUCCUGAGUUUAUGAUUUCUUGCCCUAAUAACUGGUCUGAAUUUUUGCUGCUUUUCACAUUUUCACCAAUUGCUACAGGCUUGUACAGUUCCUUUUUCAUGGGCCAAACCUUCUCUCUCUCUCUCUCUCUAUCUCUCUCUCUCUCUCUCUCUGCAUGUCGUGUAUUUUAUUUCUCUGGAAGGGAUAUAUAUACAUGUUGCUUUCUAGGUUUACUAACUUUGAUGNAGCUGAAAAUGGUGUUCCUGAGCCAGUGGAUAAGCCUGUUCAGAUGGAAACAGACACUAAGGUGAGUUAACAACGAUUGUCAGAGUUGUAGUUUUGUCUGUAUUUUCCUGAGUUUAUGAUUUCUUGCCCUAAUAACUGGUCUGAAUUUUUGCUGCUUUUCACAUUUUCACCAAUUGCUACAGGCUUGUACAGUUCCUUUUUCAUGGGCCAAACCUUCUCUCUCUCUCUCUCUCUAUCUCUCUCUCUCUCUCUCUCUGCAUGUCGUGUAUUUUAUUUCUCUGGAAGGGAUAUAUAUACAUGUUGCUUUCUAGGUUUACUAACUUUGAUGCCACCAUGCUAUAAUGGAAGAUUUCUAGGUUUACUAGCUUUGAUGCCACCAUGCUAUAAUGGAAGAUUGUUUUUAUGUAUGCUUUUCUUAACAUUAUUUUGUCAACUUGAUGUGUACGAAAUCCUCUUGUGAGGAAGGAAAACGGACCUUAGCAAUCUAGAGUUGAACUCUUCAUUUAUCAUGUACGUGCGGAUUUUACGAAUGAUACAAUCAGAAGCUCGAAAAAUCACGAAAUAUGGUUGUAUUUUAGGCUGAUGAAUUUUAUAGGCAAGCUGGACAUAGCCUCUCUUAUGAUCAUGAUGUUAACAUGCCUGUUUUUCAUGCAGGGUGUUUUCUGUUCUUGGGUUUUAUAUUGUCUCAUUUGGUGCUCUCUUUCUGAGAGAGACAGAGGUAGAGAGGGUACAUACUGGAUCCUUUCAUAGUUAACUAAACCAGGACUGGACCUAACACUAGUCCGGUCUGGUUGGUAUGUAGGGACUGAUCAUCCAUCGAAUUGUUAUUGAACUAGAUGCUGUUUUGGUUAAACCCUCUGGUUGGGAUUUGAUCCCACAGGCACAACCUUCUGUAUCUAGCAGAAGCUUUGAACCACUAGUGUAUAGCUUUAUAUGGAACAAAAAGGAAACUAAACAUGUAUAAGCCAUUCAGAGAUUCCAAAUGACAAAUUAAUCAAUCAAGCAUAAAUUUAACAAAUAUAAUUUUUUAAUUCUAUCUCAGAAACUGACAAUAUUUUUAUUAAUAUUAAUAUAUUGCAUUUGAAAAAAAAUUCAAUAUUUUUAUCCACAACAUUCAAUUUUCAAUUAUAAUUAAAAGAACAUGUAAAUGAUGAAGGAGUUCAACUAAAAAUGUUAAGAAAUUCAAAGGCGUUGAUAAUGACUUACGAGUCCGCCAAUGAUUGAUUGCUUGCCUGAUGAGUGAUGACUUGGUGAUUUAGCAAGGUCAAUGUUCGGUGUGGUUUGAGAACUGUGAAAUCCUUUUAUUUUUGUUCUAAGAAGUAACAAUGCCAUCGGUUGGAUAUAUAGUUCUGAGAAGCACUGACACCACUGGUGCUGGAGCUUUGGUGCUCGACAUGUAUCACUUGUGACAACAUCGUGGCGUGUCCUUUUUUAUUUUCUAUGAAGGCACCAAUGUGACGUAUCCAUUUCAAAAUAAUGGUAACAAAAAAGAACAAAUUAUACUAACCUUAGGGGAAUGGGAGAGCAUCCAAGGGUUUGGCGUUGCUGGAAGGAUAUCACUGAUGUUGAGUUUUGCAAGAUUAGGGUUUCCUGAGAUUGCUGACGCUUGAGAAGUUUGUGCUUUGUGAAGAGGGGAUGAAAAAUGAAAUUGUAAACGUGAAGUUGGGUAUUGGGUUUUCUAAUUUGGGUUUCUCCUUUUAUUGGGUUUAAAGAAGGUUUGGCGCAUUAAAUGUAGAGUAUACUUGUGUGUGUUCUUUUUCAAAAUUUAUGGCCCAUUCUAUUGAACAUAAACGUUUGGCCAGUGAACAUAUACUUAUCCUUUCUCUUUUUGUUAAUUUUUUUUUCUUCAUUUACCUUUUUCGUAAGAAAUCUUGAUUGUGUGUUUUUACUGUUUUCUUCCUCAAAGUUCAUCUCCAUUUCUCUAUUUGCUUUACGCUUUUAAUAAAAAUUAUUUUUAAUAAUCGUUCCUUUGAUGUGUUGUCGGCAUGUGCAUAUCCUGCGGAUCCAUGCUUAAUUGUUUUGACGAUUGGUGAUCCUGGCCCCACCGUAUUUUGGUGUUCUUAUUUUUUUUAAUUUUGAAGUUAUAUAUUUACAAUUCUUUUCCUUUUGAACAUUUAAAACUUCAAAAUAUGCUAACAAAAUGACACUUAGGUCUCGAACCCACCAAUAUCCCCUACAUAGUGUGAACAUCUCACCCUUUUGAUGUAGAUUAAAAAUAGAUUUUUAAUAAAUUUUUAUAAGUAGAUUUAUUUAUUUAUUUUUAUUUUUUUAAGAUUUACUUGUAAAUUUAUUUUAUUGAAAUAUUGUGUGGUUGGAAUUGAGUUUAGAGGAAAAUGAUUUAUUUGAGAAUAGGGUCAAACAGGGGCUACAUGUUGAUGGAAUUUAUGGUUGUAAAGUGGUCCCAUGAACGUGUAAUUAAAAUUAAUUGUUAAAUUUGGCUUGAGAUUUUAAUUCAAACUAAACAGGGGCUAUGCUUGUUAAUAUUAUUAUAGCUUGCUUAAUACACUAAUUUUAAUAUAUAUUUUUUCACAUGUUUAGGCAUAUUUAUAUUUAAUUUUCUCUGGACUUGGUUAAUUUCAGUGAAUUUGAUUGUAUAAAUUUAGUAUGUUUAAUUUGAUGAGACGUGUAUAUCUGUGUUUGAUUUUAAUUUUAAGUGUAUUUGCUAUAAAUAAGAGUGAAUUCUCUGUGUUUGAUGGGUGAAGAUGAACAAGUUUGGUAUUUUUUUCUUUUUUAAAAUUGUAAUCGGCAAAAUUAAAAAUUAGGUCAACAUACAAAGAAUUCAUGGUUAAAAAAUUUAUUGGGAGAACAAUUAAUAAUGUCAUAACAAGUUCAAUAUUUUUGUCUUAUUGCUUGGUUUAAAAAAGAAACCAAUCGAAACUGGAUUCACCAUUGGCCGUGAUUGGUUAUUAUUUAAUGUUUUGUUGGCAAUAUAAGCUAUAAAACGAAUGAAAUGUUAUAUAUUUUCAGUGGUAGGUUGGUUCCAUUUGUACCAUAUCUAUUUGUCUGGAGUCUCCUGACUUUCCAGAGUUGAUUUAUAGUCAUAUUUUUUAGUUUGUUCGUGGUGUUCUCACUCAAGAUUUUGCCUUUGUUUAUGUUCAUCAGGCAGAGGUGCCCAAGAAAAAGGUUAAGAGAACUAGUGUGCCUGUUUCAGAACUUGUGUAUGGAGGAAUGGAAACUGAAGAGGUGCAAAAGGCGGUGGAGAAGGAAUUCGAGAUGGCUUUGCAGGACCGUAUUAUGGAAGAAACGAAGGACAAAAAGAAUGCUGUGGAAGCUUAUGUUUAUGACAUGCGGAAUAAGGUAUGUUUAGGAGUGUUGUUACGCCAGAACUUUAACUAUUGGUAUUGAAAGCUCACUAUUAAAGGAUAAAGUAUUGACCGUUCUUUUGAUUCUGUAGCUUACUGACAAAUAUCAAGAGUUCGUAGUGGAUUCAGAGAGAGAACCGUUAAUGGCUAAACUCCAAGAGGUGGAAGAUUGGUUGUACGAGGAUGGUGAGGAUGAAACCAAAGGUGUCUAUAUUGCUAAACUGGAGGAACUCAAGAAGGUAGUCUUGUGUUUAUUUGUUAGUGAUUACUGCGUCUUUAAUUUCUGACCUUCAUAUGAGAGGACAUCAUUUUAAGAAUGUGUCAAAUAUCCUGCAGCUAGGUGAUCCCAUUGAGUUGCGAUACAAGGAGCAUAUGGAGAGGGGACCUGUAAUUGAUCAACUUAUUUAUUGCAUCAACAGUUACAGGGAGGCUGCAAUGUCAAAUGAUCCAAAAUUUGAUCACAUUGAUAUGGCAGAUAAGCAAAAGGUAUGCUCUCUGGCGCACUCCCCUUCCUCCUCAGAAGUAGGCUCGUGUGUUAUAACUGGUACUACUGUUAAUGGAUUGUGAUUUACUUUACAUCACUGUACCAGGUUUUGAAUGAAUGCGUCGAAGCAGAGGCUUGGCUAAGAGAGAAAAAGCAGCAGCAGGAUGCACUUCCCAAGUAUGCAAUGCCAGUUCUUUUUUCCGCUGAUGUCAGGAAAAAAGCUGAAGCUCUCGAUAGGUAUUCUUUCAUUUAACCGUCGAGUAAUUAUGAGCCAUUUUCUAUUAAGUUGUGGGUUUGCCGUCUAUUGUCUAAAUGCUAUUUUUGUGUCUUUGCGGCAUGGUGGGGAAGAUGCUAAAUAGCUUGCUAGUACGCCUGUUUGUUUUUGUUCUAGUAAUUACAAACUAUUUGGUCUCUAAUGAAAAUACAACUUGCCUUGGCAGGCUUUGCAGGCCAAUAAUGAUGAAGCCAAAGCCGGUGAAGCCAGCUACUCCUGAAGCACCCUCACCAGCAUCCUCUCAAGGAGGCGAGUCCCAAUCUCAUGGAGCAGAGAACCCUAACUCAAGCCCUGGCCAGAACACUGAUGAAUCUAGAAAUGAAGCAUCAUCCACGGAGCCCAUGGAAACCGAUAAGUCUCAAGAGUGACCCAAUUGCUGCAUAAUGUGUUUGUCCUGUUGCUAUAUCUAUAUUUCUUGCUGGGCUUGUAUGGCCUCGUCUGUACGAGUAGCAAUCAGCGACUGGAACUUUUUUGUGGCUGCGAUAUGUUUGCUGGAACUUGUUUCUUUGGAUAAUGUAUAUCUCUAUAAUCCUGUUUUACAGAAGGGUUUGUGAGAGAGAACCUAAAUGACUAUGAUAUGAUAUUCCUUUGCCUGCGUAUUCUUCUGCACAAAAAUGACCUGUCCUGAUGUUUAUUGAUUAAAAUUUCCCAUUUCUGAUAUAGACUUUCUUUCUGUAUUUGAUUUUGAUUUUCCAAUUAAAUUAGAUUUUGUUUUCGUUAAAGAGAGGCUUUUUAUAUUUUAUGUUCACGGAUGUGAUAUUUCAUUUCUGAUAGUCAACAUUAAUAGGAAAUGUUCGCGAAUAAAGUCGAAAUUUGUUGUCCCGUCAGUAUAUUUUUGACACUAUACAUUUAUUGUACUCUCCAUCAAUUUUUAGUUUCU
rnacentral:lncRNA from 1 species